rnacentral:rRNA from 1 species
GAGGAAUAUUGGUCAAUGGGCGCGAGCCUGAACCAGCCAAGUAGCGUGAAGGAUGACUGCCCUAUGGGUUGUAAACUUCUUUUAUAAGGGAAUAAAGUGAGGCACGUGUGCCUUAUUGUAUGUACCUUAGGAAUCAGCAUCGGCUAACUCCGUGCCAGCAGCCGCGGUAAUACGAAGGGGGCUAGCGUUGUUCGGAAUUACUGGGCGUAAAGCGAACGUAGGCGGAUCGAUCAGUUAGGGGUGAAAUCCCGGGGCUCAACCCCGGAACUGCCUCUAAUACUGUCGAUCUCGAGUUCGAGAGAGGUGAGUGGAAUUCCGAGUGUAGAGGUGAAAUUCGUAGAUAUUCGGAGGAACACCAGUGGCGAAGGCGGCUCACUGGCUCGAUACUGACGCUGAGGUGCGAAAGCGUGGGGAGCAAACA